GGCACUAAGACAGAGCAGACCGCACACGGUAGUACGACACACCACACAGACACAGCGUGGAGCCGCCACUUCUCUUCUCAGCGCUCCCAAUCCAGCGGCGGCGGCGGCACGCCGGCACCCACCCGGUAGAAACUGUGAUCUGCUCUAAUGGCUACCGAAGGUGAAGCUUCACCUCCACGGAAGCGUAUGUUGUUGGAGUUGCCUUGUGAUGAAGAAGGUGUUAAUGUGAGUCAAACUGUUGGUGUGUCUGCAUCAUCAGCCACACCUGCCAGAGCUUCUCAAGAACAAGGUGAACUUUAUGAUGAACUUGUUAUAUUGUGUACUUGUGUUCUUUGUGAUCAACUUAUCAUAUUAUGAACUUGUGAUCUAUGUUAUCAAUUUGUAAUAUUGUGAACUUGUGAUAUUUGUGAUCAAACUAUUAUAUUGUGAACUUGUGGUCUUUGUGAUCAACUUUUUAUAUUGUGAAUUGUGAACUUGUGGUCUUUGUGAUAUUUGUAAACUUUGUUGUAUUCUGAACUUGUUAUAUUGACAUAUGGUUACCGAUUGUAUUUAAGGUUCCAACCGGUACCGAUGUAUUUUCUGUAC